UACGAAGGGUGCAAGCGUUACUCGGAAUUACUGGGCGUAAAGCGUGCGUAGGUGGUGAGUUAAGUCUGUCGUGAAAGCCCCGGGCUCAACCUGGGAAUGGCGAUGGAUACUGGCUCGCUAGAGUGCGGUAGAGGAGAGUGGAAUUCCCGGUGUAGCAGUGAAAUGCGUAGAUAUCGGGAGGAACACCUGUGGCGAAAGCGGCGCACUGGACCACAACUGACGCUGAGGCGCGAAAGCUAGGGGAGCAAACAGG
rnacentral:rRNA from 1 species